UACGUAGGGUGCAGGCGUUGUCCGGAAUUAUUGGGCGUAAAGAGCUCGUAGGCGGUUUGUCGCGUCGAAUGUGAAAACCCGGGGCUCAACCCCGGGCCUGCAUUCGAUACGGGCAGACUAGAGUUCGGUAGGGGAGUCUGGAAUUCCUGGUGUAGCGGUGAAAUGCGCAGAUAUCAGGAGGAACACCGGUGGCGAAGGCGGGACUCUGGGCCGAUACUGACGCUGAGGAGCGAAAGCGUGGGGAGCGAACAGG
rnacentral:rRNA from 1 species